UUAAGUUAUUAAGGGCGCACGGUGGAUGCCUUGGCACUAGAAGCCGAUGAAGGACGUUACUAACGACGAUAUGCUUUGGGGAGCUGUAAGUAAGCUUUGAUCCAGAGAUUUCCGAAUGGGGAAACCCAGCAUGAGUUAUGUCAUGUUAUCGAUAUGUGAAUACAUAGCAUAUCAGAAGGCACACCCGGAGAACUGAAACAUCUUAGUACCCGGAGGAAGAGAAAGAAAAUUCGAUUCCCUUAGUAGCGGCGAGCGAAACGGGAAGAGCCCAAACCAAAAAGCUUGCUUGUUGGGGUUGUAGGACACUCUAUACGGAGUUACAAAGGACGACAUUAGACGAAUCAUCUGGAAAGAUGAAUCAAAGAAGGUAAUAAUCCUGUAGUCGAAAAUGUUGUCUCUCUUGAGUGGAUCCUGAGUACGACGGAGCACGUGAAAUUCCGUCGGAAUCUGGGAGGACCAUCUCCUAAGGCUAAAUACUCUCUAGUGACCGAUAGUGAACCAGUACCGUGAGGGAAAGGUGAAAAGCACCCCGGAAGGGGAGUGAAAUAGAACCUGAAACCGUGUGCUUACAAGUAGUCAGAGCCCGUUAAUGGGUGAUGGCGUGCCUUUUGUAGAAUGAACCGGCGAGUUACGAUUUGAUGCAAGGUUAAGCAGUAAAUGUGGAGCCGUAGCGAAAGCGAGUCUGAAUAGGGCGUUUAGUAUUUGGUCGUAGACCCGAAACCAGGUGAUCUACCCUUGGUCAGGUUGAAGUUCAGGUAACACUGAAUGGAGGACCGAACCGACUUACGUUGAAAAGUGAGCGGAUGAACUGAGGGUAGCGGAGAAAUUCCAAUCGAACCUGGAGAUAGCUGGUUCUCUCCGAAAUAGCUUUAGGGCUAGCCUCAAGUGAUGAUUAUUGGAGGUAGAGCACUGUUUGGACGAGGGGCCCCUCUCGGGUUACCGAAUUCAGACAAACUCCGAAUGCCAAUUAAUUUAACUUGGGAGUCAGAACAUGGGUGAUAAGGUCCGUGUUCGAAAGGGAAACAGCCCAGACCACCAGCUAAGGUCCCAAAAUAUAUGUUAAGUGGAAAAGGAUGUGGCGUUGCCCAGACAACUAGGAUGUUGGCUUAGAAGCAGCCAUCAUUUAAAGAGUGCGUAAUAGCUCACUAGUCGAGUGACACUGCGCCGAAAAUGUACCGGGGCUAAACAUAUUACCGAAGCUGUGGAUUGUCCUUUGGACAAUGGUAGGAGAGCGUUCUAAGGGCGUUGAAGCAUGAUCGUAAGGACAUGUGGAGCGCUUAGAAGUGAGAAUGCCGGUGUGAGUAGCGAAAGACGGGUGAGAAUCCCGUCCACCGAUUGACUAAGGUUUCCAGAGGAAGGCUGGUCCGCUCUGGGUUAGUCGGGUCCUAAGCUGAGGCCGACAGGCGUAGGCGAUGGAUAACAGGUUGAUAUUCCUGUACCACCUAUAAUCGUUUUAAUCGAUGGGGGGACGCAGUAGGAUAGGCGAAGCGUGCGAUUGGAUUGCACGUCUAAGCAGUAAGGCUGAGUAUUAGGCAAAUCCGGUACUCGUUAAGGCUGAGCUGUGAUGGGGAGAAGACAUUGUGUCUUCGAGUCGUUGAUUUCACACUGCCGAGAAAAGCCUCUAGAUAGAAAAUAGGUGCCCGUACCGCAAACCGACACAGGUAGUCAAGAUGAGAAUUCUAAGGUGAGCGAGCGAACUCUCGUUAAGGAACUCGGCAAAAUGACCCCGUAACUUCGGGAGAAGGGGUGCUCUUUAGGGUUAACGCCCAGAAGAGCCGCAGUGAAUAGGCCCAAGCGACUGUUUAUCAAAAACACAGGUCUCUGCUAAACCGUAAGGUGAUGUAUAGGGGCUGACGCCUGCCCGGUGCUGGAAGGUUAAGAGGAGUGGUUAGCUUCUGCGAAGCUACGAAUCGAAGCCCCAGUAAACGGCGGCCGUAACUAUAACGGUCCUAAGGUAGCGAAAUUCCUUGUCGGGUAAGUUCCGACCCGCACGAAAGGCGUAACGAUUUGGGCACUGUCUCAACGAGAGACUCGGUGAAAUCAUAGUACCUGUGAAGAUGCAGGUUACCCGCGACAGGACGGAAAGACCCCGUGGAGCUUUACUGUAGCCUGAUAUUGAAAUUCGGCACAGCUUGUACAGGAUAGGUAGGAGCCUUUGAAACGUGAGCGCUAGCUUACGUGGAGGCGCUGGUGGGAUACUACCCUAGCUGUGUUGGCUUUCUAACCCGCACCACUUAUCGUGGUGGGAGACAGUGUCAGGCGGGCAGUUUGACUGGGGCGGUCGCCUCCUAAAAGGUAACGGAGGCGCUCAAAGGUUCCCUCAGAAUGGUUGGAAAUCAUUCAUAGAGUGUAAAGGCAUAAGGGAGCUUGACUGCGAGACCUACAAGUCGAGCAGGGUCGAAAGACGGACUUAGUGAUCCGGUGGUUCCGCAUGGAAGGGCCAUCGCUCAACGGAUAAAAGCUACCCCGGGGAUAACAGGCUUAUCUCCCCCAAGAGUUCACAUCGACGGGGAGGUUUGGCACCUCGAUGUCGGCUCAUCGCAUCCUGGGGCUGUAGUCGGUCCCAAGGGUUGGGCUGUUCGCCCAUUAAAGCGGUACGCGAGCUGGGUUCAGAACGUCGUGAGACAGUUCGGUCCCUAUCCGUCGUGGGCGUAGGAAAUUUGAGAGGAGCUGUCCUUAGUACGAGAGGACCGGGAUGGACAUACCUCUGGUGUACCAGUUGUCGUGCCAACGGCAUAGCUGGGUAGCUAUGUGUGGACGGGAUAAGUGCUGAAAGCAUCUAAGCAUGAAGCCCCCCUCAAGAUGAGAUUUCCCAACUUCGGUUAUAAGAUCCCUCAAAGAUGAUGAGGUUAAUAGGUUCGAGGUGGAAGCAUGGUGACAUGUGGAGCUGACGAAUACUAAUCGAUCGAAGACUUAAUCAA
rnacentral:rRNA from 1 species